UUCCUUCGCUCCCUUCUUCUCCUUCCUUCCUUCCUUCCUUCGCUCCCUUCUUCUCCUUCCUUCUUCCUUCCUUCCUUCCUUCCUUCCUUCCUUCCUUCCUUCCUUCCUUCUUUCCUUCCUUCCCACUCUAAAGUGCCCUCCUGCCCUGCUUAGAUUGCGCCAACUGCGUUCGUUCGCCACCAGCUAGAUUGCAAAAGAGGAAGCUCAGCAUCCCGCUCAUCCCCCCCACCCCACCCCACCCCACCCUCUCCCGCCGAGUGCGUGAGUCGUCCAGCCCCUUUUCCAGCAGCAGCCAGGCAAGCUCUUCCGCCGCAGCUUCGGGCGAUUCACUCGGAAGGCAUCCCACCACCCAGAGGCACUGAACUCUCGGACCUGCUGUCAUUUGAAAUGCUCCCUGGUGAGAGAAGUGAUUGUUAACUCCACUGUGCAAAAAAGAAGCUAAAACGCAGGAGGUGAAACUGAGUUUUAGCUGGAAGUUAUCUUGCUGAGUCAAGGAAUAGCAAGACUUCAUUGUGAAUACAGUUUCUUCUCCAGCAACUGACUGCAAAUUCUCAACCAGCAGAAGAUUCUUGAUCCUCCUGUCAUAGAACUGAUACUUCCAGCUGCUGUUUUCAUUCAGUUUUCUGAUUUGAGCUACCAAGAAAGAAGGAACCUAAAGCAAAUAUGAAAAAUGACAGCCUGAGGAAUUCCAGCAGCGCCUGAGAGAGGAGAGAAGAGAACCAAUUUGAUUCCAGAGAGAUUGAAUAUUAACGAAUGCUUACUGAUGAUACCUAUCUUCUGUCCAAAUCUGCAAAUUGAGCCAAGUAAAUUGUUCAGUUAUGAUCUUUCUAAAAAGGUGCCAGGAAUCUCCAUCGUACAAAGGAUGAAGAGUUGGACAGAGAAGCUGGGCAGAAUGUACUGAGGAACAGAUAGACUGCAUUUGGGCUUGCAGAACAGAGAGAAGGUACUUCCAAUUCUGACUUCUUUUCAAGAUAAUGAGUGAUGAAGCCUAAUAGAUGUUACACAUUUCCUCCCCUGGAUGAUAUCAUAAAAAAGAAAGACUUAUAGACUAAGAACAAGAUAAAGAAGACAUCAUGGGGACAUGGCAUUCCCGCUGCCUCCCCCUCCCAAAUGUGUUUGUAUAGCAAUAGCAUUUAGACUUAUAUACCGUUUCAUAGUGCUUUUACAGCCCUUUCUCUAAGUAGUUCACAGACUCAGCAUAUUACCCCCAACAAUCUGGGUCCUCAUUUUACCGACCUCUGAAGGAUGGAAGAAUCGAACUACUGGCAGACGACAGAAUUAGCCUGCAAUACUGCAUUCUAACCAUUGUGGCAUCACGGCUCCUGUAUCAGGCUUAGGUAAAAGUUAUCUUCAAUCUUAACGAAUCACAAACUGCGACCAAACAAGAAUUAGAAACUAUACAUUGUAGUGUCAUAAUUUUAAAAAAUCUGGUUCUCCUGUCCUGGAAGAAUUUGCAGAACCAGCAUAACUCUACAAUGAACCUAGGCUUAGCCUGGUAUGAAUUAAAAGUGUAACAUCCCAUAGUUGGGAAUCAGUGACACCUUGAAAUGUAAAUGAGGUGUUCUUCAUUUCCAAGAAUAGUCCCAUUACUUGACAGAGUGCAUUCAUUUCUUUCACUUCUUUCCAUUAGGUAACAAUUACUUAGAAGCCAGGAAAAUAUAAGGAUAUUUCAAAGAAAUGCACACACCAUACUACUUUCCAAGCACAGAGACAGUUUUUCUUUUGUCAAAGUCUUCACAUCAACAAUGAGAUACUCUACUGUUGUUCUUUAUCUGCCUAGCAGAAAACAGCAGAAAGCAAAUCAAUCCAUCUGUCCAAAUUUACAUGAAAUAUCUAUCUAAGGCUUAGUUCAUAGACUUCCCAGACUUUGCCUUAGGAAUAUGCUCAGUUUACCAGUUGUAUAUACAAAAUCAGUUAGUUUUAUUCUCCCAGUACUGCCUAUGAAAUUUAGGCCAAGGAACAUUCCUAGACUUCUAGGGAAGAAAUGGCAAACUGAAGAUGGCCCAGCAUUUUGAGGAGCCAACAACUGUGGCAAAGAAAAGAAGCCUGCAAAUACAUUAGGUCCAUUGACCCUCUCUGGAGAGAGGAAAUAAAGAUUGCCCACAUUGCACUCAAUAUGUUUGCUUCUCACAAGAAAAUUGAAAUGCAGCUGUCUUUGGGGAAAAUCAGGACCUGAGGGAAUUUAGUAUUUACCAUUCUUGCUCUAGCUGCAGUUUGACCCUUUAAAGCAUGGGUCUCCAAUCUUGGCAACUUUAAGACUU